GGGGUUGUGGCUCAGCGGUAGAGCACUCGCCUGGCACAUGUGAGGCACUGAGUUCAAUCCUCAGCACCA
rnacentral:tRNA from 1 species